UACGGAGGGUGCAAGCGUUAAUCGGAAUCACUGGGCGUAAAGCGCACGUAGGCGGCACGUUAAGUCAGAUGUGAAACCCCUGGGCUCAACCUGGGAAUGGCAUUUGAUACUAGCGCGCUCGAGUCUGAUAGAGGGGGGUGGAAUUCCAGGUGUAGCGGUGAAAUGCGUAGAUAUCUGGAGGAACACCGGUGGCGAAGGCGGCCCCCUGGAUCAUGACUGACGCUGAGGUGCGAAAGCGUGGGUAGCAAACAGG
rnacentral:rRNA from 1 species